UGGGGGACGCUUUCUUUAAGGUUAUCCCGGGCGAUGGUUGCCCCGGGCGUAAGGGACCGAAAUAUAGUAGGGAAGUAACUGGCGAGAGAGACGAGAAAAGCUCUAGUGUAUACUAAGGUGCCCGUACCGCAAACCGACACAGGUAGAUGGGAUGAGUAUUCUAAGGCCAACGGGAGAAGGGUUGUUAAGGAACUCGGCAAAUUGGCCCCGUAACUUCGGGAUAAGGGGCGCCUGCGAGAGCAGGCCGCAGUGAAAAGGCCCAAGCGACUUUUUAGCAAAAACACAGCUCUCUGCUAAAUCGAAAGAUGACGUAUAGGGGGUGACGCCUGCCCGGUGCUGGAAGGUUAAGGGGAGUGCUUAGCGCAAGCGAAGGUGCGAACUUAAGCCCCAGUAAACGGCGGCCGUAACAAUAACGGUCCUAAGGUAGCGAAAUUCCUUGUCAGGUAAGUUCUGACCCGCACGAAUGGCGUAACGAUUUGGGCACUGUCUCAACAGCCCGCCCGGCGAAAUUGUAGUACCGGUGAAGAUGCCGGUUUCCCGCAACUAGACGGAAAGACCCCAUGGAGCUUCACUGUAGCUUGAUAUUGGAUCUCGGUAUUCCAUGUACAGGAUAGGUGGGAGGCUAGGAAGCGAGCGCGCCAGCGUUCGUGGAGCCAACCUUGGGAUACCACUCUUGGGAUAUUGGGAUUCUAACCUGCGACCAUGAAUCUGGUCGGGGGACACUGUCAGGUGGGCAGUUUGACUGGGGCGGUCGCCUCCAAAAGAGUAACGGAGGCGCUCAAAGGUUCGUUCAGCACGGAUGGAAAUCGUGCACUGAGUGUAAACGCAUAAACGAGCCUAACUGCGAGAAUGACGGUUCGAGCAGUAACGAAAGUUGGAGUUAGUGAUCCGGCGGUAUGUGAAUGGAAAUGCCGUCGCUCAACGGAUAAAAGCUACCCUGGGGAUAACAGGCUGAUCUCCCCCAAGAGUCCACAUCGACGGGGAGGUUUGGCACCUCGAUGUCGGCUCAUCGCAUCCUGGGGCUGAAUUCGGUCCCAAGGGUUUGGCUGUUCGCCAAUUAAAGCGGUACGCGAGCUGGGUUCAGAACGUCGUGAGACAGUUCGGUCCCUAUCUGUUGCGGGCGCAGGAAUAUUGAGAGGAGCUGUCCUUAGUACGAGAGGACCGGGAUGGACGUACCGCUGGUGCACCAGUUGUUCUGCCAAGGGCAUAGCUGGGUAGCUAAGUACGGACGAGAUAAACGCUGAAGGCAUCUAAGCGUGAAACUCCCCUCGAGAUAAGUGUUCCCAUCCUUCGGGAGUAAGGCCCCUUGUAGACUACAAGGUUGAUAGGUCAGGAGUGGAAGUGCAGUAAUGUAUGGAGCGGACUGAUACUAAUAGGCCGAGGGCUUGUC
rnacentral:rRNA from 1 species